rnacentral:misc_RNA from 1 species
GGAGGGAUCAUUACCGAGUUAGGGCCUCCGGGUCCGACCUCCAACCCUUUGUGAACACAUCCCGUUGCUUCGGGGGCGACCCUGCCGGGCGCCCCCGGAGGACCACCAAACACUGCAUCUAUGCGUCGGAGUUUACGAGUAAAUCGAAACAAAACUUUCAACAACGGAUCUCUUGGUUCUGGCAUCGAUGAAGAACGCAGCGAAAUGCGAUAAGUAAUGUGAAUUGCAGAAUUCAGUGAAUCAUCGAAUCUUUGAACGCACAUUGCGCCCCCUGGUAUUCCGGGGGGCAUGCCCGUUCGAGCGUCAUUACACCACUCCAGCCUCGCUGGGUAUUGGGCGUCUUCGCGGGGGAGCAAUCCCCCGCGCGCCUCAAAGUCUCCGGCUGAGCGGUCCCGUCUCCCAGCGUUGUGGCAUCACGUCUCGCUGAAGAUUCGGGCCCUCACGGCCGUUAAAUCACACCUCAGGUUGACCUCGGAUCGGGUAGGGAUACCCGCUGAACUUAAGCAUAUCAAUAAGCGGAGGAAAAGAAACCAACAGGGAUUGCCCUAGUAACGGCGAGUGAAGCGGCAACAGCUCAAAUUUGAAAUCUGGCCCCCCGGCCCGAGUUGUAAUUUGUAGAGGAUGCUUCUGGGUAGCGACCGGUCUAAGUUCCUUGGAACAGGACGUCAUAGAGGGUGAGAAUCCCGUAUGUGACCGGCCCGCGCCCUCCACGUAGCUCCUUCGACGAGUCGAGUUGUUUGGGAAUGCAGCUCUAAAUGGGAGGUAAAUUUCUUCUAAAGCUAAAUACCGGCCAGAGACCGAUAGCGCACAAGUAGAGUGAUCGAAAGAUGAAAAGCACUUUGGAAAGAGAGUUAAAAAGCACGUGAAAUUGUUGAAAGGGAAGCGCUUACAACCAGACUUUGGGGCGGUGUUCCGCCGGUCUUCUGACCGGUCUACUCUCCGUCCCGAGGCCAACAUCAUCUGGGACCGCCGGACAAGACCUCAGGAAUGUGGCUCCCCUCGGGGAGUGUUAUAGCCUGUGGUGAUGCGGCGCGUCCCGGGUGAGGUCCGCGCUUCGGCAAGGAUGUUGGCGUAAUGGUUGUCAGCGGCCCGUCUUGAAACACGGACCAAGGAGUCUAACAUCUAUGCGAGUGUUCGGGUGUCAAACCCCUACGCGGAAUGAAAGUGAACGGAGGUGGGAACUUUUUUGUGCACCAUCGACCGAUCCUGAUGUCCUCGGAUGGAUUUGAGUAAGAGCAUAGCUGUUGGGACCCGAAAGAUGGUGAACUAUGCCUGAAUAGGGUGAAGCCAGAGGAAACUCUGGUGGAGGCUCGCAGCGGUUCUGACGUGCAAAUCGAUCGUCAAAUUUGGGUAUAGGGGCGAAAGACUAAUCGAACCAUCUAGUAGCUGGUUCCUGC